CUGCAAACAUCCUCGCUCUUCUGAUCUGCUGGAAAUCAGGACAGGCUGAACACUGACUGUGCUAAGGUCAUGGGUGAAUCCCCAGACCUAGUUGUUUCCCUAGGUGUGGUAUUAUAAAUUCGGGUGAUAAAC
rnacentral:snoRNA from 1 species